AUUGAACGCUGGCGGCAGGCCUAACACAUGCAAGUCGAGCGGAUGAAGGGAGCUUGCUCCUGGAUUCAGCGGCGGACGGGUGAGUAAUGCCUAGGAAUCUGCCUGGUAGUGGGGGAUAACGUCCGGAAACGGGCGCUAAUACCGCAUACGUCCUGAGGGAGAAAGUGGGGGAUCUUCGGACCUCACGCUAUCAGAUGAGCCUAGGUCGGAUUAGCUAGUUGGUGGGGUAAAGGCCUACCAAGGCGACGAUCCGUAACUGGUCUGAUAGGAUGAUCAGUCACACUGGAACUGAGACACGGUCCCGACUCCUACGGGAGGCAGCAGUGGCGAAUAUUGGACAAUGUGCGAAAGCCUGAUCCAGCCAUGCCGCGUGUGUCAAGAAGGUCUUCGGAUUGUAAAUCACUUUAAGUUGGGAGUAAGGGCAGUACGUUAAUACCUUGCUGUUUUGACGUUACCAACAGAAUAAGCACCUGCUAACUUCGUG
rnacentral:rRNA from 1 species